GGCCGGUUGGCUCAGUUGGUUAGAGCGCAGUGUUCGUAACACCGAGGCUGCCGGUUCGAUUCCCACAUGGGCCA